rnacentral:rRNA from 1 species
AUUGAACGCUGGCGGCAGGCCUAACACAUGCAAGUCGAGCGAGAAAGGUCUUCGGACUGAGUAGAGCGGCGGACGGGUGAGUAACGCGUAGGAAGCUACCCGGUAGCGGGGGAUAACUCGGGGAAACUCGAGCUAAUACCGCAUACGCCCUGAGGGGGAAAGCGGGGGAUCUUAGGACCUCGCACUAUCGGAUGCGCCUGCGUCGGAUUAGCUAGUUGGUAGGGUAACGGCCUACCAAGGCGACGAUCCGUAGCUGGUCUGAGAGGAUGAUCAGCCACACUGGGACUGAGACACGGCCCAGACUCCUACGGGAGGCAG